rnacentral:rRNA from 1 species
GACGAACGCUGGCGGCGUGCUUAACGCAUGCAAGUCGAACGGAAGGGCCCUGCUUGCAGGGUACUCGAGUGGCGAACGGGUGAGUAACACGUGGGUGAUCUGCCCUGCACUUCGGUAUAAGCCUGGGAAACUGGGUCUAAUACCGGAUAGGAGCCAUUUUUAGUGUGAUGGUUGGAAAGUUUUUUCGGUGUAGGAUGAGCUCGCGGCCUAUCAGCUUGUUGGUGGGGUAAUGGCCUACCAAGGCGGCGACGGGUAGCCGGCCUGAGAGGGUGGACGGCCGCAUUGGGACUGAGAUACGGCCCAGACUCAUACGGGAGGCAGCAGGGGGGAAUAGUGCACAAUGGGCGCAAGCCUGGUGCAGCGAGGCCGCGUGGGGGAUGACGGCCUUCGGGUUGUAACCUCCUUUCGCUAGGGACGAAGCUUUUGUGACGGUACCUAGAUAAGAAGCACCGGCUAACUACGUGCCAGCCGCCGCCGUAA